AUUGAACGCUGGCGGCAGGCCUAACACAUGCAAGUCGAGCGGAUGAAGGGGGCUUGCUCCUGGAUUCAGCGGCGGACGGGCGCGUUAUGCCUAGGAAUCUGCCUGGUAGUGGGGGAUAACGUCCGGUAACGGGCGCUAAUACCGCAUACGUCCUGAGGGAGAAAGUGGGGGAUCAUUGGAUCACACGCUAUCAGAUGAGCCUAGGUCGGAUUAGCUAGUUGGUGGGGUAAAGGCCUACCAAGGCGACGAUCCGUAACUGGUCUGAGAGGAUGAUCAGUCACACUGGAACUGAGACACGGUCCAGACUCCUACGGGAGGCAGCAGUGGGGAAUAUUGGACAAUGGGCGAAAGCCUGAUCCAGCCAUGCCGCGUGUGUGAAGAAGGUCUUCGGAUUGUAAAGCACUUUAAGUUGGGAGGAAGGGCAGUAAGUUAAUACCUUGCUGUUUUGACGUUACCAACAGAAUAAGCACCGGCUAACUUCGUG
rnacentral:rRNA from 1 species